AUUUUUUUUAUUUAUUUAGCUUUGCCAACUAGGGCAGGGUCACCACAACAGCAUAUGCCAAUUACUGUGGGCCCUUUUUUACCUAACCCACCCUGUCAACUUUCCCUGUGGGAGGAAACCGGAGUACCCGGGGAAAACCCACGGCUUUCGGCAGAGCGUUGACUUUUACUCUUCUCGCAUGGGGACUGGGUUCGAGUCGCACUGAGAAGGUACUUAGUGAGACUCGAACCUGCAGCCUCAGAGGUGAAAGGCAAGUGCGCUAACCACUUGGCCACCGAAGCCCCUAUA